rnacentral:rRNA from 1 species
ACCAGCAGCCAUAUCACCCUGCAGCUCAAACCUAACAAGCCACUAAGCUAAGCAGGUGUGAGCCAGGUGAGUACCUGGAUGGGGGUCCUCUUGGGAAAAACUGAGGUUACUGGAA